GGGUUUUCACAUUUGCCUCUCCUUUUUCUUUUUUUCUUUUUUUUUAUGACUCAAAGCGCCCUUUUGCGAGUUUUCACCUUAGUCUCUUUUUUUUAUGACUCAAUGCGCCCUUUGUGGGUUUUCAUCUUGGUCCAUUUUCCUUCUUUAGGUGAAGUAUUUCUUGACUGAAUCUGAAUUUACAGGAUUUGAAUGAUUUUUACCAUCCAUCUCACUCAAAAUCAAUGCUCCACUGGAAAAGGCCUUCUUUACAACAUAAGGUCUUUCCCAAUUUUGCAUCCAUU
rnacentral:lncRNA from 1 species